CGAGGUAGAUAGGGCAGAGGUGGAAGUGCAGCAAUGCAUGGAGCUGACUGUUACUAAUCGGGUGAGGGCUUGACCAAG
rnacentral:rRNA from 1 species